UGGGGAAUAUUGGACAAUGGGCGAAAGCCUGAUCCAGCCAUGCCGCGUGUGUGAAGAAGGCCUUAUGGUUGUAAAGCACUUUAAGCGAGGAGGAGGGUACUGGUAUUAAUACUACCAGCUACUGGACGUUACUCGCAGAAUAAGCACCGGCUAACUCUGUGCCAGCAGCCGCGGUAAUACAGAGGGUGCGAGCGUUAAUCGGAAUUACUGGGCGUAAAGCGCGCGUAGGUGGUUCGUUAAGUUGAAUGUGAAAGCCCCGGGCUCAACCUGGGAACUGCAUCCACAACUGGCGAGCUAGAGUAGGGCAGAGGGUGGUGGAAUUUCCUGUGUAGCGGUGAAAUGCGUAGAUAUAGGAAGGAACACCAGUGGCGAAGGCGACCACCUGGGCUCAUACUGACACUGAGGUGCGAAAGCGUGGGGAGCAAACAGG
rnacentral:rRNA from 1 species